rnacentral:rRNA from 1 species
AUUGAACGCUGGCGGCAUGCUUUACACAUGCAGGUCGAACGGUAACAGGCCGCAAGGUGCUGACGAGUGGCGAACGGGUGAGUAAUGCAUCGGAACGUGCCCAGUCGUGGGGGAUAACUACUCUAAAGAGUAGCUAAUACCGCAUACGAUCUAUGGAUGAAAGCGGGGGACCGUAAGGCCUCGCGCGAUUGGAUCGGCCGAUGUCAGAUUAGGUAGUUGGUGGGGUAAAGGCUCACCAAGCCAACGAUCUGUAGCUGGUCUGAGAGGACGACCAGCCACACUGGGACUGAGACACGGCCCAGACUCCUACGGGAGGCAGCAGUGGGGAAUUUUGGACAAUGGGCGCAAGCCUGAUCCAGCAAUGCCGCGUGCAGGAAGAAGGCCUUCGGGUUGUAAACUGCUUUUGUACGGAACGAAACGGCUCUGGUUAAUACCCGGGGCUAAUGACGGUACCGUAAGAAUAAGCACCGGCUAACUACGUG